AUAUGAAUCACCUGAGGAUCUUGUUAAAUGCAGAUUUUGAUUCAGCAGCCUGUGGUAUGGCCAAAAAUUCUGCAUUUCUAAUAAGCUCCCAGGUGGUGCUGAU
rnacentral:pre_miRNA from 1 species